UACAGAGGUCCCAAGCGUUGUUCGGAUUCACUGGGCGUAAAGCGCACGUAGGCGGAUUGUUAAGUCGGGGGUGAAAUCCUGAGGCUCAACCUCAGAACUGCCUUCGAUACUGGCAAUCUCGAGUCCGGAAGAGGUUGGUGGAACAGCUAGUGUAGAGGUGAAAUUUGUAGAUAUUAGCUAGAACACCAGUGGCGAAGGCGGCCAACUGGUCCGGCACUGACGCUGAGGUGCGAAAGCGUGGGGAGCAAACAGG
rnacentral:rRNA from 1 species